rnacentral:rRNA from 1 species
UCAGGACGAACGCUGGCGGCGUGCCUAACACAUGCAAGUCGAGCGGGGACAUUGCGACGGACAUGAAGUUUUCGGAUGGAUUGAAAGAUGUAAUGUUCUAGCGGCGGACGGGUGAGUAACGCGUGAGCAACCUGUCCCUUACAGGGGGAUAACACAGCGAAAGUUGUACUAAUACCGCAUGAGACCACAGAGCGACAUCGCUUAGGGGUCAAAGGAGCAAUCCGGUAAGGGGUGGGCUCGCGUCCGAUUAGAUAGUUGGUGAGGUAACGGCCCACCAAGUCGACGAUCGGUAGCCGACCUGAGAGGGUGAUCGGCCACAUUGGGACUGAGACACGGCCCAAACUCCUACGGGAGGCAGCAGUGGGGAAUAUUGGGCAAUGGGGGAAACCCUGACCCAGCAACGCCGCGUGAGGGAAGAAGGUUUUCGGAUCGUAAACCUCUGUCCUUGGUGAAGAGAAAGAGACGGUAGCCAAGGAGGAAGCCCCGGCUAACUACGUGCCAGCAGCCGCGGUAAUACGUAGGGGGCGAGCGUUGUCCGGAAUGAUUGGGCGUAAAGGGCGCGUAGGCGGCCCGGUAAGUCUGAAGUGAAAGUCCUGCUUUUAAGGUGGGAAUUGCUUUGGAUACUGUCGGGCUUGAGUGCAGGAGAGGUAAGUGGAAUUCCCAGUGUAGCGGUGAAAUGCGUAGAGAUUGGGAGGAACACCAGUGGCGAAGGCGACUUACUGGAC